UCAGUAAAGCCUUGAAAGUUGAGACAGUUCAGUUUAGGUAACUAACCUCAAAAAUCAACCAAGUGCUGCCUCCAUUAUUUGAAUCCGGACAGGACACAUGCUGGUUAUCAGGUCCUCCCAGAGCCAAUAUAUACAGAACAUAGUAAAUCAUCACAUGGGAAAGCAAUUCACAAGUGUUUCCUUUCAGGCUAACCGUGCAAAUUUAGUUACAUAGAGAAAUCAUUCACUUCACGUUAGGAGAAGUUUGAGGCUGCUCUGCAACGCCGUUGUUAAAUUUCCCACUCGACUGUCUCACUCUUAAACUGCCUUGUUUCACUGGCUUCGGCUGAAAAAGAGAGUUAAAUAUUUUCUCCAAUGACUGAGCUGUAUACUUUGCAUAUUUGCUUGCACUUGGGUCUUGUUCAACCAAUGGCCCAUAAUUUUGCAUGUAACUACGGUAAACAGGCACAAUAGUCUGAAUUAUAACCUGGCGUGUUUUCUCCCGCAGGGUCCUCCCAGAGCCAAUAUAUACAGAACAUAGUAAAUCAUCACAUGGGAAAGCAAUUCACAAGUGUUUCCUUUGAGGCUAACCGUGCAAAUUUAGUUACAUAGAGAAAUCAUUCACUUCACAUUAGGAGAAGUUUGAGGCUGCUCUGCAACGCCGUUGUUAAAUUUCCC
rnacentral:lncRNA from 1 species